rnacentral:miRNA from 1 species
AUGUAGCGAGCUGAGUGGGGAGGAGAGAGGGACAGAGAGCCUGCUUGCUUUAAAGAAACCAACCGGACACUCGUGUGGCUCCUCUCCUCUCUGUCCCUCUCUCCUCCCCACUCAGCGUCUCUUCUC